GAGGCUCUAAGAACAAGCAAAGAUCGAACCUUUACUAAAUAGGAUGGCAGAGAACAACAUGAACAGAAAAGUACUGGCGUACCUUGAAGAAAAACGUUGAGACUUGAAAACAAAGGGCGGCGAUCUCAGGUUCGGGGAACCAAACUAACAGCGCCGGUGAGGUUUUCUGAUAUUUAUAAGAGGGUGGGGGCGAGCGGCGUCACGAACUUUCUUGGAGGAUCAUAGCAUGAGUCAGUCAGAGAGAGCCCUGAACUCUUCUUGCUACCGGGUAGAUCGGUCUGUGCGUUAGACUAGUCAUGCACAUGUUUGACUUUGGAACCAUAGACUUGGUCCCACUCCGUCCCUUGUUUCUUUCGAUAAUCUCUGUCUUUUUCUUUUAUAUUUCAGUGUUACAGAACAAUCUCGAAUAAUGGAGAGUGGAGAAUUCAUUACAGCUCAAUCUUAAAUGGUAAACAUUACAUGUAGCCCCUCAGGUUUAAGCUUUAUUGCAUCUUAUACAACAUCUUUAAAACAUUUCACUUUCAACCUCAAGUACUAUUUAUUUCAAUUUCAAUACAACCGUUUUAGUUUCCAUCCAUGGAGAUCUGUUAAAUGCUGACGUGGCUGCCACACAUAAUACACGUGGCUGCCAAUAAUUUUGCCACGUGGCAAAUUAAAAAAAAAAAAAUUUUAAAACCUGAAAUUGGGAGAGAAAAAAAAAGGUCGAACCCAGAAGAAGAAGAAAGAGAAAGAGAAGAGAAGAAGAAGAAGAAGAAGAAGAAGAAGAAGAGAGAAAAAAAAAAAAAAAAAAAAAGGGACCGAACCCAGAAGAAGGAGGAAGAAGAAGAAAAGAAGAAAGAGGAGGAGGGAGAGAAAGAAGAAAGAAGAAGAAAAGAAAAAAAAAAAAAAAAAGGUCCGAACCCAGAAGAAGAAGAAGAAGAGAGAGAAGAAGAAAGAGAAAGAGAAAAAAAAAAGUGGCAAAUAUGUUUUUUUUUUUUAAAAUUAAAAAAUUAUUUUAUUUGCCACGUGGCAGACAUUUGGCAGCCACGUAUCAUAUAUGUGGCAGCCACGUCAGCAUUUAACAGAUCCAUGGAUGGAAAAUCUAACGGGUUGUAUGAAAUUGAAAUAAAAUAGUACUUGAGUAGUUGAAAGUGAAAUGUUUUAAAGAUGUUGUUGUAUGAGAUUGCAAUAGAGCUCAAACCUGAGGGGCUACUAUGUAAUUUACCCUAAAAUAAUGUACUUGAAAGUUCAUACUAUACAACUUUGCAUGCUCGGAUUUGAUCGAUUUUAAAAAUAUCAUCGAACUAAUUAUAAUAAAUUGAUUGGAUUUUAGUUUGUUUGAACUUAAAUUGUUGUCAAAACCAAAUUAUUGUUGAAUGAUUUGGUUAUGUACGCAAUCGUUUUUUCUUUAAGAACCAUUUCCAGUAUAAGACGAUUUUGAACUCAAAACUGACUUGAACUGAAGAAAGCACACGUAACUAAUAAAGUAUAAAAUACGCGAUUCAAUACCAACGUAACAAUUGUUACUUAUACAGAUCGUAAACAAGUCCAUAUAACAUGAUAGAUCUAUUGAAAGCAACAAGCUAUGGUUGAAACAAAUCCAUCGCAACAAAAGCCCUAAACAUAAGAUCAAGAACACCACUUGCUUUCAUGAGGAGCAACCCUCAUUGUUAAUAGCAGAAUAGACAUUUGCCAUUGAUGUAGAAAUCACCACCAAAAUCAAAAGUAGCAUCCCAGAUACCGCAAUACCAACCGAAUCGAAUGAUAACUUGAAAAAUAGAUUUGGAAGGAGAAUAGGAAAGGGAAGUGAGGGUUGCCCAACUCAUAAACUCAUUCAAACGAACAAUAAUAUUUCUUGCAUAUCCAAAAUUAUGUCAGUAGUACACAACCACAAUAUAUAAUACAUUUAAAUAUUACAUAUAAGUUUUUUCUCUAUCGAAGUACAUUGCUCUCUAUUCUCUAAGCCAAUAUUGAUGCCCAUAUUUCAGUCUGCGCACAGUUUCACACACAUGCAUACGUACAAUUCUUUCACACAUUUAGUUUAUUUAGAGAUGUAAAUUGUAAUAGAUCUUGGGUAUUUUACAGGUUGGAGCUUGACAUUCCAACCCUUGGAAAAUUUUGAAAAAUCCAAUAUUUUUAUGAGGUACAUUUCUUUGCUUGGUUGAAACAUUGACCUGGUCAAACUAGCUCAAGAGUACCGGUGAUCGAAAAGCCACCGGUUGCUCAUAAGUUAUAUUGACUUGAGAAACACGCUCCUGUCUUGAAGAGCACGAAUGAAUAUUCCAUUUCAUCUUUUUUUAAUUAAUUAACUAAUCAUUUCUUUAAUCCCGUUCACAUUACCAUGAUAAUAACAUUAAAAUUUGACAUGUCUUCUGACUGUGAGCUAAUCGAGUGGAAAAUAGAGGUUGAUGAUAACAGAAAAGGCAAUGCUUUCCUUAUUCUUUUAAAACACAGAGUUUGCUUCUUAAUCCCUCUAAUCAUGGUAAAGGUCAAAACAUAAUCAAGAGUUUUAACGAAACAUUCUCGAUACUAUUCACUUUUAAUAAAAAAAAUCAUAUUUUUAUCUUUAUUUAAUAUUAUUCACUACACAUUUAUUUGUCAUUUUUCAUUAAAACUAAAGUUCUUUUUUGUACUUUUCGUUAGUUUUCCUAGCAUCUCACACAUUGCUUUGGCCUCAAGAAUAUGAAAAGAUUUUUCAGUGUGCUCGAAACAUUUGGUGGUACACUACGUGUCAUUAUACAAAUGAUGAGACAUUUGUGUUAAAAAUUAACAACUUAAAAAAUAAAACUUCCUCCACUAAUAUAAUAAUGUAUCACUCGUGGUUCGGACAAAUUUCUCUAAAAAUAUGAGAGGUUAUCAAAAUUCGGUUCAAAUAAAUAGGAAAAAUGGUCAACAAAAAGAUAGAAUAAAUGACUAAAUUAAGAAAAAUGCUGACAACUUUUGCACCAACAUUUUUAUUUGGACAUUUUCACUUCUUCAAAUGAUACGUGUUUAACAAAAAAAAAAAAAAAAAAAAAACCUUUAAUGCCUUUUGAAAUUUUAUUUUUUAUUCUUCAUCAUUAAUUCCUCGCUUUCUUUCUUUUUUUGGUAAUAAAAUAACACGUGUCAUUUAAAGAAGCGUAAAUAUCCAAAUGCAAAAAUUAAUGCAAAUGUUGCUAGCACUCCUAAAAUAUGUUGUCUGCUAAUUAAUAAUUCGUUAGUAAAUAAUCAAACAAAUACAUAGCAUGGUCGACAGAAAACCUGGGAAAUUAUGUGAAUGUCUUGAUGUGACAUCACAUUAGGAACUUAAUAUUAGUCAAAGGCCAAUUUGUAUUAGGUUUUGUCUUUGAGCCAAGUAAAAGUUCAACAAUGUCAAUGGAGCCACCGAGCACAUGGAAAACGGCUCCAAAUACUAUGAGGAACUGUCAAACUCGGUUGUUCUAACUUAUAAAUUUCUAAUUCAAAGCACUCAGACACACAUCCCACAAGUCCAUGUAAACACGUACGGAACUUGGAUACGCGCACGGGUCGAAAGAUGACCAAAGUAGGCAUUCAUCAGGCAAAGUUUUACCUUUACUCACAUGAUGCUACGAACAACGUGAUCAACUUAUCUCACAUCAAUGAGACGUGAUAGAUAAAACUCAUUAAACCUAUAUCCAACUCAGUUGCUCUAAAUGAGGAGUCAAAGAGAUGCCCAAAACAGAUAGAGAAAAAAUAAUCAUCUAUUUGUCAAUACAAAACUUGUUAAGCAUAGAUCCAACUCAGUUGCUUUAAAUGAGGAGUCAAAGAGAUGCCCAAAACAGUCUGAGCCCGUACUCGAGCUUGGGCUGAAUUUGACCCAACUCCGUUGAGCAGCUUUUGUGCAUCAACAAAUUUAAUUAUCAUCUUUAUUAAUAAUAAAAAAUGAUCGAACUAGAGACUUAUUUCAAUAUUGUGAAGAAAAAUAUCUCUAAAUUAAAUCUAGUUUAACAAACUAUGUGAUUGCAUAAGUCCUCCUCUCUCCAUUGCGGGUGGAGGACUUCAAUUUUCAAACUCCAAUUCAUGAUCAUUGUGUGGAUGCAAAUUUCUGUCAUCUCUUCCUUUGACGAAAAUGUACCUACAAAAUAAUAACACAUUCGAUUAAGGCCAAAAGCCUCACGCGCCCAUGAUGAAUUGGGGGGCUUUGGCCGAAGAAUCUCCGAUGCCAAAAUUAGAAUUAUGAAAAGAAUGUGUUUAGGAGUUUGUGAAUAGCAAAUAGCUUAGCAUUUUAGUGGGAUAAGAUGAGUAUUUAUAGGAUAGUGGCCGGGCAUUUGGGUGGAGAGUGGUUGGCCAUAUAUGGUGUAAUUGGGUGAAUAAUUGCAAGAUAUUAUGUGAAAUAAUAUCUUGCAAUUAAGAUGACAAUUAUUCCUAAAUUAAAUAGGAAGUUUUCGGAGUUACCUUUUGAAUAAGGAUUUGAUGAGAAGUGAUGAGAGAGAUUUAAAUAAAUACCAUAUUGACCACAUUUGACUCUUACUUGAUUGAGUCAUUAUUGUCUGUUGCAUGCACAUGGGAAUUCCGAUGUGUCUCGAGGGUAAUCUUGUCCUUCUUGUCCAAAAAUCCACAUGUCAUCUCCAUGAUUUUUGGGAUUAUUUUUGGCUCCACACAAUGUUUUUUAGGUUAUUUAGCCAAAGGUCAAUAGAAUCUUUACAAAUUAGGCAUAUAUCAAUGUCAAAUUUUUUUUUUGGACAUAAUUAAUGAAAUAUUUACAGUAAUUAUAUAUAGGUCAAUGAAGCAUACCACAUGAGUUUAGAUUAGUUAGAAAAUAACUAUUCUACCCUUAUCACUUCAAUUUAUUGCUUUCCUUCUCUCCUUCCCUCUCCCUUGUCAUUAUCUACUUCUUUCUCUUAUCUCUUUCUCUCUCUCAUCCUUCUCUCAUCCCUUCUCUCCCAUUUUUCUCUCUAAUGAAGAAGAGGUCAUUGGUGAUGGUGAGUAGCACCAAAUCCCAAUGGCUUAGUCGAUCAGUGACUACAACAUCACAAUUGACAUGAUUCCUUCUAGAACCAUCACUGAUCUCCACGAGAUCAUGAAGCCAAUGGUGCCGGCAGUGUUCAUGAAGGAGUGGUCCCACAUCAACUGUAGAAGAGAGUUUCUAGAAGAAAGCUUGUUUGGGUUAGAGUUGCAGAAGUUGAACAUGAGUAUCGAUGAGGUUUGGAAGGCGCUCGAGGAUGAAAUUGGGCAGUGGAUCAAAUCUGUGAAAUGUGUGCUUUGGAUUUUAGGCUCUUUUUGCUAUUUGAAUUUGCGCUGGAAUGGUGGAAGAUAAUGCUUGCAUAUCUUGAAAACUUGAAGACAAUCCAUAAGAAAAAGAAGUACAAAAAUAGACAUUGCAUUGCAAAGUCUGAAUCUAAAUGUAAAAGCAAAACCAGAAACAGACACCGAAUUACAUAGUCUGAAUCCAAAUGUAAAAGCAGAAUUAGAAACGGAGUUUGCAAUGUAGAGUCUAUAUUCAAAUGUAGAAGAUAAACCAGAAACGGACGCAAUGCAACGCCUGAAUGCAGAGUCGUGCGAAGUGUGAAUUGUAUGAUAUUUGUGAAUGAUGUGUGUGGUUGAUCUGAUUCAAAAUAAAAGAAUUUGUACGCUGACAGUUGUAGUAGGGUGAAUUAUUAUGUUAAGGGUAAAUUACAUUUUACCCCCUCGGGGUUUGGGUUCAAUUGCAACCGCAUACAACAUCUUUAAAACAUUUCAAUUUCAUACACAAACUUUUAUUUUGUUGCAAUUUCAUACAUCCGUUAAUUAAACUGUUAAUUUGACCGUUAAAUGGUGGCAAAUGCAUGACCCACAUAUUUAAUGACAUGGCAUAAAAAUUAAUUGAUUAUCAAAAAGCAAUUUAAACAAAAAAUUAAAUUAAACAAAAAAAAGGGGGGGGCCACCCCUCUUCUCCCACCCGAGACCUCCAUCUCCAUCUUCUUCCUUCUCCACCUGAGACCUGCAUCACCAUCUCCUUCUUUCUCCACCACCACCACCACCCGUCACAUACAACCACCAUGUCAAUCCUCACCCUCCCAAUCCCUAAACCCCAUUCCUAAUUUUUUUCAAAUUUGUUCCGAGUCUUCUUAUAUUUUCUCUCAGUUUUCGCUCUUAAUCCGAAAAUAAAGCCUAGAAAAUUUCCUAGAUCCGAAGAUGAGUUUGUGUCUGAAUUAGCUUCCCUUUUCGACUGGGUCAUGAGGAAGGGUCGAGAUCGAGAGCUCUCUGUGCUCAUGCCUUUAAUCUUAGGUGCAGCCACUCCGCCGCAACACCCGACUUGAAACCCAGAUAGAGAAAACCCGAUAAGACGAACCCAGCGGGAAGGAAUCAUCCUCACCAACGCGUGUCAGUGAACGAAGGAUAUUCGGACCUGGACUCGCUGCUGUGGGGGCUGGGUGGCAAGGACGGUCAGCCGCCGGUGACGAAGGCGUCAAUCGACGCCAUGCCGUGUGUCAAGAUUUGGGAAUCAGAAAUUUGAUGAUUUGGUUGUGUAAAUUGUUUUGUUGAUGAUCUGGAACUAUUAAGAAUUGGGAGAGGGAAAUUUAAAGGGGGAGGGAUUGACAUGGUUGUCUGGGAUAGGUGGUCGGGGUGGAGAAAGAAGAAGAUGGAGAUGGAGGUCUUGGGGAGAAGAAGGGUGGGCCCCUUUUUUGUUUAAUUUAAUUUUUUUUUAAAUUGCUUUUUGAUAAUUAAUUCUUUUUUAUAUGUCACGUCCUCAAAUAUGUGGGUCAUGCAUUUGUCACGUCACCAUAUAACGGUUAAAUUAACGGUUUAACUAACGGAUGCAUAAAAUUGCAACAAAAUAAAAGUUUGUCUAUGAGAUUGAAAUAUUUUAAAGAUGUUGUAUGAGGUUAUAAUUGCACCCAAACCCGAAGGAGUAAAAUGUAAUUUACUCUUAUGUUAAUAAUGCUUGAAUUGACUGGUCACUUUUACUGAAAAUGAGUGUCGUCUUAUGUUUUAUCUAUUUGGACAACUUCGGUACCACUUAGGCCAUCUCCAACCGAUGGCUGGCCAGAGGGCUCGUUUUAGCCCUUUCGCCCCCCAAGAUCCUCCAAGAUAUUAAUAUUUUAAUGAACAGUACAUGGUCAUAUUUGCUUCCAUCUCCAACCGAGGGCCAGAGGCCUCGUCUUAGCCCUGUCACAAAAAACUGUCUCCAACGGAAGGCCAAAGGGCCAAACAUAAUUUAUUAUUUAAAAACUACAACUUAAAUUCAAAUCCAACAGCUAAGUAAUGUCAGCUAGCCGUUGGUAGCUGACGUCAGCUAGCCGUUGGAUUUGAAUAUUUUUUUGCUAUAAAUAGGGUGGAUAUUGGGAUAUAAUUCUCACAACUUUGAAUUCAAUCUAUUUCCAUUUAAUCUCUUUCAAUUCAAUCUAUUGAAGAAGCAUGGAGUAGGCAUUUAUGUUUUAUGUUUUUAAAUGUUUUUAAAAAUGUUGUUAAAGUUUCCUGUUGUAUAAUUUUUAUGUUGGUUAAUGUUAUUUAAUGUUGUUUCAUAUUGUUUCAUGUUACUUAAUUUAAUUUAAUGUUGUAUAAUGGCUUAGGAAGUUAUAGGAAAAAAAAUAGAAUUUAAAAAAAAAUAUGAAACAAAUUUUGUGAAAUAGAAGUUAUAGGAAAAAAAUGGAAUUUCAAAAAAAUAUGAAACAAAUUUUAUAAAAUAGAAGUUAUACGAAAAAAAAUAUGAACCAAAUUUUGUAAAAUAUAAGUUAUAGAAAAAAAGUUAUAGGAAGUUAUAGGAAAAAAAUAUGAAACAAAUUUUGUGAAAUAGAAGUUAUAGGAAAAAAAUGGAAUUUCAAAAAAAUAUGAAACAAAUUUUAUAAAAUAGAAGUUAUACGAAAAAAAAUAUGAACCAAAUUUUGUAAAAUAUAAGUUAUAGAAAAAAAGUUAUAGGAAGUUAUAGAAAAAAAAAGUUUAAAUUCAUAAAAACAAAAAAAAAAAUUGAAUACAACGGCUAGUGACUGGCUAGCUGUUGGAAUUCAAAUUAGAAUUAGUGACGGUUUUAACCCACACUGUUCAAACUGCUAUUAUAUUAACAUUGCUAUUAGUGUCGGUUAUAACCGACACUAAUAAUAUAGUAUAUAUUAUUUUUGUCGGCUAUAACCGACAGAAAUAACAAAACAUUAAAAAAAAAAUGACCAGCCCCGGGCUGGCUGGCUAGCUGCAUGCAGCCAUGCAGCUAGCCAGCCCUCCAGCCCUUUCCGAUUCCGUGGGGUCCUCUCAGAUUCCAGAGCCCUUUGGCCUAACUCUCGAUUGGAAACGGUUUUCGGAUUAUUUUUGGCCCUAUAAUCCUCUGGACCAUUCGGUUGGAGAUGACCUUGGUAUAAAAGAAAACAAUCACUCAUUUGUGAUGUGAAGUGAUUUGCAAGACCAUGGGACCGCAUGCACCCAACAGCAUUCUAGUUUCUUCUCGGUGUUCUCACUCUCGUGUCGCUCUCGUUCUCUCGUGUAAACGUGUUCAUGCACGCACACAAGGACAUAAGAGUACGAGUAUGCGACAGGGACCUCCAUGACAAACCACGAUCGUCGACUAAACACCCUUUUGCCACCGUUAUUUCGUUGCCUUUUGUUCUCAAAGAUCAAAUCAAAACCACAAUGGCACGUACAAUGAACCCCAUUCAAAGUCGAAGCACUGUCUUUGUGGUGGACGAAAGUUCAUAAAUAGUUGACCAUGUUCUAAAUAUUCCUAGAUAUUUAACACGGAUAAUGUAAGCCUAUACUCGUAUUGGAAAAUAUAAAAUGCACUUAUGCUUAAAUUGAUUUAUUAUAUAAUAUAUAAAUACCUCUUCCAUGCAUAUGGCAUUUUAUAAUUUCUAUGACAUCAAUAUGAUAAGUUUGAUUACAUUGCAUUUGGUUUGAGCUACGCGAUGAAAAGUUUGGAUGAACGGGAAACCGGUAAACAAUCCCUCCCGGGCAUCAAGAAAGGUAAAAGUUGAGUUCAUUUGACGAUCAGAUUCAACUGAGAUAUAUACAAAAAGAAAAGUACAAUGUUCAACAUUACAAUAGUUCAUCAUCAAUCAAAUUCUAAUACAAAGUUAUGCAGGGCUAGCUCUUUACAUCAAUUAUUUUCUCAUUGACCACGCACGACCUAUAUACACGACCUAUAUACAUCAAUCAAAUUCUAAACAAAAAGCAUUAAGAAGUUACACAGAAGGCACCUGAUCUUACUACGCACGACCUAUAUACAGGGGAAGAAGUUGGACCCCAGGCAAGUACAGGCAAGACUAGAAGUUACCGAUAGCAACCAGUAUAAUGUCACCAAGACAGCAUGGUGAUUGCAAAACACAGCACUAUCAAUACAUCUGUAUAGAACUACAGAAGCCUACUUCUGCAAGUCAAUUCUGUUCUAACAAGCAUGCAUUGCAAGACCUAGACGGUACCCAACGCGAGGAAUUGUAGAUAAUCCUGCCCUUCCAUCCUUGUAGCAUCCAGUUUCCAUCUUCAUCAACCACGAAAUCACGGUGGUACCCCAGCUUCACGUUCGCCCUUAAUUUGUUCAUGAGUUCACGGUUCAAUGGCAACUGUUUGAACCCGGCCCUCAUGUUCCGAACCUGCCACUGCUUAUAUGUCUCAGGCCUCACAACUCUCUCAGAGCCCUCGCAAGCUAUUGUGUUCACAACCUCUCGUCCAAGGAAUUCUUCCUCAAACAUCAAUCUCAUCGGAUCUUCACGAGAUAAAUUGGUAUCAAACAUAUCAAACAAUGCAGAGAAGUGGGAUAGAGCCUCCCUGAAGGGUGUGACGUAGAAUGGGGCAUUGUAAGAUCCAUUAAUGACACUAUGGAUAAAGAUAUCAGGAUUCAUGCUCCUAAUGAAAUUUAGAACAGCAUCCCUUGGGCUGUUUACCACAACUGUCUCGUCAAGUAGGUUUUUAAACCGGAACAGACAAUUCACAGCAAGCACUUCAUCUCUCUUGACAUUGAGUUCCUCAUAUUGGAUAGCUUCCCAUUUCUUUGCGAUGCCAUUGUACUCGAAAGGAACAUUAUACCACUCACAAUACUUUGCCAAACGGUGGCCUGUCUCUUGGACUCGAAAGGAAUAUUACAAAGAUGAAGUAUUGAGGUAGUUCAGCUACAAAGCCGACUAGUAUAUUAGAGUGCAACAUGGUAUAUUAGAGUACAACAUGGAUAACCAGAAUACUCAAAUACGAAAUGAAAUAGUACCUCUGCCUAGUUUGUUGAUCAUCCUUUCUAUCACAAUUCUCAAAGAAGUUCAAACAAGCAUAUUCUACAAGAUUCCUACGCUGGCACCCAACAAGAAGAAGCAUACACAAUUCGGCCCUUCCAUCCUUGAAGCAUCCAAUCACUAUCUUGAUCAACUACAAAAUCUUUGUGGUACCAUGCCUUCACCUUAUCCUUAAGAAUCUUCACUAAAUCUUGGUCCAAUUGCAACGGCUGUAAACCAGCCCUCAUGCAUCGAACCUGCCACUGCUUAUAUGUCUCAGGCCUCUCAACCCGCUCUACGCCCUCACAUGCUAUUACAUUCAUAGCUUCCCUGCCAUAGAACUCACUCUCAAACCUCAACCUCUCUUCAUUGUCACGGGGUAUAUUAAUAUCAAAUGCAUCAUACAAGGAAGAGUAGUGGAAGAGAGCCUCCCGAAAUCGAGUGACAAAGAAAGGGGCAUUGUAGGAACCAUUGAUAAUAGAGUGGACAAAAAUAUCUGGUUUCAUCCUUCUGAUUAGUUGUAGAACACCAUCCCUUGGACAGUUCACUUCAACGGUCUCAUCAAGUAGGUUCUUGAACCGUAACAUACAGUUCACAGCAAGCACCUCAUUCCUUUCAGUCUUAAGGUCCUCCAGUUGGAUGGAUUCCCAAUCUUGUGAAGCUAUAGCAUUGUACUCAAAAGGUACAUUAAAACGCUCACAAUAUCUUGCCAAGCGACGUCCAGUCUCUUCAAUCCACUCUGCUGGACGAAACCCAGGUUGGGGAACCUCUAUCCCGGUAAUGCGUAGCUUCGGAGGUCCACCACGUCUCUUUGAAAGAUGCUGGAUGAGGAAUGGCCACUGGAAACCAUACAGGAUACCAAAAUCGACAAUAUGAAGGGUUGUUGCUUUCUCAGCCAUCUUCAAAAUCAUCUUGUUUUUGAAGAGCAUACACAUUCUCUUGAAAGGGCAAGCUGAAAGAUGAACGUGGUAAGAUUUCAACACAUCAACGGCUGAUGACCUUUUGGCAAGGGACGUAUAAAACUUUUGGGUUCCGGUGUCAGUACCACCCAUACGAGCCUCAAGACCAUUCGCAAAGAAGUGAGCCAACCUUUGAGAUCCAUCACCGUUAGGAGAAGCGUGCUGCCUAACCUGCUUUAACAGUUCACUAGUGGUCCUAAAAUCAUUGGUAGACACGGCUUGUGCACACAAAAUCAGGAGAUUCUGCAAAUCCACAGUUUCCUUCUUCUUUCCUUGUUUCUUACCACGAGCCUUCCCGCCAUUACCAUUAGAUCCUUGUGGCUGUCCAGGCUGCAAGGUCUUGCUUGCUUCAUUCUUAAAAGCAACAUUGCCACACUGAGAUUCAUUAUUUCCGCCAGUAGACAGCAACACCUUGUCAAACAUCUCAGACAAUUCACUCUCUUCAGUCUUUUCUAUAUAAACUGCAGACUGCUUGCUACUCCUCCCUUCUUCAAGAUCAACAUCUUCCCGCUCGCGAUUCUUUCUUCCCUUUGACCCAUUAGGUGAGUUCUUCCGCUCACUCUUUUCUUUCUUGACAGUAACCAUCGGCACACUUGCUUUCACUUCUGGAGACACUGUGUUGCUUUCCAGAUCAACAAGCAGCUGAGUGCUUUUCGGAAGGAAUUUACUAGCUUCCUCUAACCCUCUCUGGAAUUGCAAGAUAGAAUCACUAUCUGUAUAUAUAUUCUGAGCCACAAACUCUUCUACAGAGGAGCCCUGUAGCAUAUCAUCAAGGCGCUGCCCACCACCAACAUGCCGCCUAUCACCAACACUAGUCAUGCGAUUUUCCAGAGGAACAGACAACUGUGAACUCGAAUGUGAAUUGAACUGGAAAGGGUUGUCACUGGGAAGGGUAGUUUGUGGAAAAGAAGAUUUUGGAUCUCCCGAAUCGCCAACCCGUUGAGGAUCAUUGGAAUUGCUAGUACCAGGACUAGGACUAUUAUUACUACCACUACAAUCACUACAACUCCCAGAAUUAUUACCACCAGGACUCUCAACAUUCGGAUUGAUAUGAAGUGGUUGCUGAUUGGGUGAAAAGGGGUACCGUUGACCAAGAACAUCAUAGAACGAUUUCUCAGUCACACGAAGACCCAACGGAUCAAAGAACAUGCAAGGCUUUUUCUCUAUGUUCUCUUCCAAAAGAAUCUGGUUUACGUAUUUGAAAAUAGCUUCAGAAAAAUCACUGUCAUCGGAGGAACUGUCUGCUCCUCCGACGCUCACAGUCGUAGGCAGAGACAAUGAGCCUCCAUCAGGUGGACUCAAACUUUUAGAUGGAACAAAUGACUCUCCACUUGUGGUCAAACUGACUUUAGGAACAAUAUUACCCUGUUCGAAAUCGGGCGGAAGGGAAAAAUGAUUGUCCACAAAGUUAAGAUCCGGAGAGAACUGGUUAAAUUGGUAUUCAUUUGUGAGAUUUGAGAAUUGAGUUGAAUCAGGUGAGAAGGCUAGAUCAUCAAUACUGAAACCAUUCAAGUAAUCAGGACUUCCAUUGACAGUUGGAUGAUCCAUAACGAUCACAGAAAAAUACCUGGGUACAAUUCUAAACUCUAAAACCCUCUAAAACUUAAGAUUCUACCCACAAAAGUGAUGAAAUUUAAAGAUUUAAUCUCACAGGAACCCCAUCAAGGAACAAAGCAGGCUAGCAAGAACAAAUCAGAAGCAAAAAUGAAAAACCUCAAAAACCCAUCAGAGUUUUUGCAGAUUUAUUGCACAGGAAGCAAAGGUUUUGAAGCGGAAGGCUCUAAGAACAAGCAAAGAUCGAACCUUUACUGAAUCGGAUGACAGAAAACAACAUGAACAGAAAAGUACUGGCGUACCUUGAAGAAAAACGUUGAGACUCGAAAACAAAAGGCGGCGAUCUCAGGUUCGGGGAACCAAACUAACAGCACCGGUGAGGUUUUCUGAUAUUUAUAAGCGGGUGGGGCCGAGCGGCGUCACGUACUUUCUUGGAGGAGCAUAGCAAGUGUCAGUCAGAGAUAGUCCUGAACUCUUUUUCCAACCGU
rnacentral:lncRNA from 1 species